CGGGCCUAACACAUGCAAGUCGUACGAGAACGCUCCUUCGGGAGUUAUUAAAGUGGCGCACGGGUGAGGAACGCGUAGGUAAUCUACCCUCAGGCGGGGGACAACACUCCGAAAGGAAUGCUAAUACCGCGUAAGACCACACUUACUAAGGUGAGAGUGGUAAAAGAUGGCCUCUUCUUGAAAGCUAUCACCAGAGGAUGAGCCUGCGUCCCAUCAGCUUGUUGGUAAGGUAACGGCUUACCAAGGCGAAGACGGGUAGCUGGUCUGAGAGGAUGAUCAGCCACACUGGCACUGGAACACGGGCCAGACUCCUACGGGAGGCAGCAGUGAGGAAUAUUGGGCAAUGGGCGCAAGCCUGACCCAGCCACGCCGCGUGUGUGAUGAAGGCCUUCGGGUCGUAAAGCACUGUGGGGAGAGACGAACAUGCGCAUGAGGAAAUGCUUGCGUACUGACGGUACCUCCUUAGCAAGCACCGGCUAACUCUGUG
rnacentral:rRNA from 1 species